GACGAACGCUGGCGGCGUGCUUAACACAUGCAAGUCGAACGGAAAGGCCCUGCUUUUGUGGGGUGCUCGAGUGGCGAACGGGUGAGCAACACGUGAGUAACCUGCCCUUGACUUUGGGAUAACUUCAGGAAACUGGGGCUAAUACCGGAUAGGAGCUCCUGCUGCAUGUUGGGGGUUGGAAAGUUUCGGCGGUUGGGGAUGGGCUCGCGGCUUAUCAGCUUGUUGGUGGGGUAGUGGCUUACCAAGGCUUUGACGGGUAGCCGGCCUGCGAGGGUGAACGGCCACAUUGGGACUGAGAUACGGCCCAGCCUCCUACGGGAGGCAGCAGUGGGGAAUAUUGCACAAUGGGCGGAAGCCUGAGGCAGCAACGCCGCGUGCGGGAUGACGGCCUUCGGGUUGUAAACCGCUUUCGCCUGUGACGAAGCGUGAGUGACGGUAAUGGGUAAAGAAGCACCGGCUAACUACGUG
rnacentral:rRNA from 1 species